GAUGAACGCUGGCGGCGUGCCUAAUACAUGCAAGUCGAGCGAACAGACGAGGAGCUUGCUCCUCUGACGUUAGCGGCGGACGGGUGAGUAACACGUGGAUAACCUACCUAUAAGACUGGGAUAACUUCGGGAAACCGGAGCUAAUACCGGAUAAUAUAUUGAACCGCAUGGUUCAAUAGUGAAAGACGGUUUUGCUGUCACUUAUAGAUGGAUCCGCGCCGCAAUAGCUAGUUGGUAAGGUAACGGCUUACCAAGGCGACGAUGCGUAGCCGACCUGAGAGGGUGAUCGGCCACACUGGAACUGAGACACGGUCCAGACUCCUACGGGAGGCAGCAGUAGGGAAUCUUCCGCAAUGGGCGAAAGCCUGACGGAGCAACGCCGCGUGAGUGAUGAAGGUCUUCGGAUCGUAAAACUCUGUUAUUAGGGAAGAACAAAUGUGUAAGUAACUAUGCACGUCUUGACGGUACCUAAUCAGAAAGCCACGGCUAACUACGUG
rnacentral:rRNA from 1 species